rnacentral:rRNA from 1 species
UUCCAAGUUACAAAGAGCCAACGGUGGAUGCCUUGGCGUCAACUACCGAUGAAAGACGUGUCCGGCUGCGAAAAGCCACGGGGAGCUGCCUAGAGAGCUUUGAUCCGUGGAUGUCUGAAUGGGGAAACCCAGCACCCGUGAUGGGGUGUUACUCCGUACUGAAUACAUAGGUACGAGAGAGGGAACGGGGUGAAUUGAAACAUCUGAGUAGCCCCAGGAAAAGAAAGCAACAGCGACUCCCUGAGUAGCGGCGAGCGAAACGGGAUCAGCCUAAACCGUGCCGGUGUCAAAGCCUGAUGGCGUUGCCGGUAUGGGGUCGUGGGACCUGAGGGAAGGGGCAUCAGACCCUUCACAGAGUUACAAAGUGUCGAUGUAGUGGAAGCGUCCUGGAACGUCGCGCCACAGUGGGUAAGAGCCCCGUACACGAAACAUCGCCACCUCUGCUCGGAGUUCCCAAGUAGCGCCGGGACCGUGAAAACUGGCGUGAAUCUGCGAAGACCACUUCGUAAGGCUAAGUAUACGUUGACGACCGAUAGUGCACUAGUACCGUGAGGGAAAGGUGAAAAGUACCCCGGGAGGGGAGUGAAAUAGUACCUGAAACCGUUGGUUUACAAUCAGUCAAAGUGUCGUUCUCGAUUUAUCGAGAGCCACGAUGGCGUGCCUUUUGAAGAAUGAGCCAACGAGUUACGGUGUGUGGCAAGGUUAACCCGCUGAGGGGGAGCCGGAGCGAAAGCGAGUCUUAAUAGGGCGUUCAGUCGCAUGCUGUAGACCCGAAGCCGAGUGAUCUAUCCAUGGGCAGGUUGAAGCGGGGGUAAGACCCCGUGGAGGACCGAACCCACCACGGUUGAAAACGUGGGGGAUGACCUGUGGAUAGGGGUGAAAGGCCAAUCAAACUCGGUGAUAGCUGGUUCUCCGCGAAAUGCAUUUAGGUGCAGCGUCGGGUGUUCAGCGAUGGAGGUAGAGCACUGAAUGGGCUAGGGGUCCUACAAGAUUACCGAACCCAAUCAAACUCCGAAUGCCAUCGCUCCAGAGCCCGGCAGUGAGACUACGAGGGAUGAGCUUCGUGGUCGAGAGGGAAACAGCCCAGACCGCCAGCUAAGGCCCCAAAUUCUGGACUAAGUGGUAAACGAUGUGAGACUGCCCAGACAGCCAGGAGGUUGGCUUAGAAGCAGCCACCCUUGAAAGAGUGCGUAACAGCUCACUGGUCGAGUGGUCUUGCGCGGACAAUGUAACGGGGCUCAAGUCCAGAGCCGAAGCUGCGGAUGCGUCGCAAGACGCGUGGUAGCGGAGCGUCGAUCUCGGAGUGAAGCGGCGGGGGAACCCGUCGUGGACCGUGGUCGAGUGAGAAUGUUGGCAUGAGUAGCGAGAGAGGGGUGAGAAACCCCUCCGCCGAAAACCCAAGGGUUCCUGGGGAAGGCUAAUCCGCCCAGGGUAAGUCGGGAGCUAAGGCGAGGCCGAGAGGCGUAGUCGAUGCACAACCGGUUGAUAUUCCGGUACCGCUGUAUUCGCGCCCAUACCGAGCCAUUGUUGCUAAGGGGCUGUCACCUUCGGGUGGCGAACCGACCCACGAUGAGGAGGUAAGCAAUGAGGGGACGCAGGAGGGUAAGUGAACCCAGGCGCUGGUUGACCUGGGGUAAGCGUGUAGGGAGGGGACCAGGCAAAUCCGGGCCCCAUACAUCCUGAGACGUGACGCCGAGCCGAUUGAGGCGAAGUCACCGAUCCCAUGCUGCCGAGAAAAGCCUCUAGCGAGCUGAUACAGCGCCCGUACCCCAAACCGACACAGGUGGGUAGGUAGAGAAUACCAAGGCGAUCGGGAGAACUGUGGUUAAGGAACUCGGCAAAAUACCUCCGUAACUUCGGGAGAAGGAGGGCCUCAUCAGGGUGUAGGACCUCGCGUCCGAAGCCCGAAGAGGCGGCAGAAACCAGGGGAAAGCGACUGUUUACUAAAAACACAGCAGCGUGCGAAGUCCUAAGACGAUGUAUACGCUGUGACGCCUGCCCGGUGCUGGAAGGUUACGGGGAAGGGUUAGCUCUCGAGCGAAGCUCUGAACCUAAGCCCCAGUAAACGGCGGCCGUAACUAUAACGGUCCUAAGGUAGCGAAAUUCCUUGUCGGGUAAGUUCCGACCUGCACGAAUGGCGUAACGACUUUCCUACUGUCUCAACCACAGACCCGGCGAAAUUGAAGUACGAGUAAAGAUGCUCGUUAGCUGCAGAAGGACGGAAAGACCCCGUGGACCUUUACUAUAACUUGAUGUUGGGCUUUGGUAUGUGUUGUGUAGGAUAGGUGGGAGACUUUGAAGCAUUGGCGCCAGCCAGUGUGGAGUCAUCCUUGAAAUACCACCCUGCACAUGCUGGGGCUCUAACCCACGCCCGUUAUCCGGGUGGGGGACAGCGUCAGGCGGGUAGUUUGACUGGGGCGGUCGCCUCCUAAAGAGUAACGGAGGCGCUCAAAGGUUCCCUCAGCCUGGUUGGCAAUCAGGCGUCGAGUGCAAUGGCACAAGGGAGCUUGACUGCGAGACCUACAAGUCGAGCAGGUGCGAAAGCAGGACAUAGUGAUCCGGCGGUUGCGUGUGGAAGCGCCGUCGCUCAACGGAUAAAAGGUACCCCGGGGAUAACAGGCUCAUCUUCCCCAAGAGUCCAUAUCGACGGGAAGGUUUGGCACCUCGAUGUCGGCUCAUCGCAUCCUGGGGCUGAAGCAGGUCCCAAGGGUUGGGCUGUUCGCCCAUUAAAGCGGUACGCGAGCUGGGUUUAGAACGUCGUGAGACAGUUCGGUCCCUAUCCUCUGCAGCCGGAGGAGAUUUGAGGAAGGCUAUCCCUAGUACGAGAGGACCGGGAUGGACGUAGCUCUAGUGUGCCAGUUGUCCUGCCAAGGGCACGGCUGGUUGGCUACCUACGGAAGGGAUAAGCGCUGAAAGCAUCUAAGUGCGAAACCCGUUCCAAGAUGAGAUCUCCCACUGGGUCAACCAGGUAAGGCCCGUGGUAGACCACCACGUUGAUAGGCCGGAGGUGUACGUGCGGUAACGCAUUCAGCCGACCGGUACUAAUCGGCCGAGGGCUUGGAUCG